AGAAAGGGCUUCUGCCAUGAGAGGUACACAGAGGACAACUUGAUUGUUCUUUUGUGGAAUCGAUAUCAAGAGAUUUUAGAAGGAUAACGUUUUGGUAGUUGGGCAAUUGGUGAUAUUUGGUCCAGAUGCCUUU
ensembl:snRNA